rnacentral:tRNA from 1 species
UCCCUGGUGGCUGAGACAGUAAAGAAUCUGCCUGCAAUGCAGGAGACCCAGGCUCUAUCCCUGGGUCGGGAA